AUUGAACGCUGGCGGCAGGCCUAACACAUGCAAGUCGAACGGUAACAGGAAGAAGCUUGCUUCUUUGCUGACGAGUGGCGGACGGGUGAGUAAUGUCUGGGAAACUGCCUGAUGGAGGGGGAUAACUACUGGAAACGGUAGCUAAUACCGCAUAACGUCGCAAGACCAAAGAGGGGGACCUUCGGGCCUCUUGCCAUCGGAUAUGCCCAGAUGGGAUUAGCUAGUAGGUGGGGUAACGGCUCACCUAGGCGACGAUCCCUAGCUGGUCUGAGAGGAUGACCAGCCACACUGGAACGGAGACACGGUCCAGACUCCUACGGGAGGCAGCAGUGGGGAAUAUUGCACAAUGGGCGCAAGCCUGAUGCAGCCAUGCCGCGUGUAUGAAGAAGGCCUUCGGGUUGUAAAGUACUUUCAGCGGGGAGGAAGGGAGUAAAGUUAAUACCUUUGCUCAUUGACGUUACCCGCAGAAGAAGCACCGGCUAACUCCGUG
rnacentral:rRNA from 1 species